AAAGUGGCGAACGGCUGAGUAACACGUGGGCAACCUGCCCUUUGCACUGGGAUAGCCUCGGGAAACCGAGGUUAAUACCGGAUACUCCAUAUUUGUCGCAUGGCGAAUAUGGGAAAGCUCCGGCGGCAAAGGAUGGGCCCCGCGGCCUGUUAGCUAGUUGGUGGGGUAGUGGCCUACCAAGGCAAUGAUGGGUAGCCGGGUUGAGAGACCGACCGGCCAGAUUGGGACUGAGACACGGCCCAGACUCCUACGGGAGGCAGCAGAC
rnacentral:rRNA from 1 species